rnacentral:rRNA from 1 species
UACGAAGGGUGCAAGCGUUACUCGGAAUUACUGGGCGUAAAGCGUGCGUAGGUGGUUUGUUAAGUCUGUUGUGAAAGCCCCGGGCUCAACCUGGGAAUUGCGCUUGAUACUGCGGCGCUGGAAGGUGGGAGAGGAUGGCGGAAUUCCCAGUGUAGAGGUGAAAUUCGUAGAUAUUGGGAAGAACACCGGUGGCGAAGGCGGCCAUCUGGCCCACAUUUGACGCUGAGGCGCGAAAGCGUGGGGAGCAAACAGG